GUCUCACAGUUUGAUCCUGGCUCAGAACGAACGCUGGCGGCGCGCUUAACACAUGCAAGUCGAACGAGAAGGCGUAGCAAUACGCUUGUAAAGUGGCGAACGGGUGAGGAAUACAUGGGUAACCUACCCUCGAGUGGGGGAUAACCCGCCGAAAGGCGAGCUAAUACCGCGUACGCUUCCGAUCUUGCGGGAUUGGAAGGAAAGCUGUCCCAAGGGGAUGGCGCUCAAGGAUGGGCUCAUGUCCUAUCAGCUUGUUGGUAGGGUAACGGCCUACCAAGGCAUCGACGGGUAGCUGGUCUGAGAGGACGAUCAGCCACACUGGCACUGCGACACGGGCCAGACUCC
rnacentral:rRNA from 1 species